rnacentral:rRNA from 1 species
AGUUUGAUCAUGGCUCAGACUUGAACGCUGGCGGAAUGCUUUACACAUGCAAGUCGAACGGCAGCACGGGGCAACCUGGUGGCGAGUGGCGAACGGGUGAGUAAUACAUCGGAACGUGCCCAAUCGUGGGGAUAACGUAGCGAAAGUUACGCUAAUACCGCAUACGAUCUACGGAUGAAAGCGGGGGAUCGCAAGACCUCGCGCGAGUGGAGCGGCCGAUGUCAGAUUAGGUAGUUGGUGGGGUAAAGGCUCACCAAGCCAACGAUCUGUAGCUGGUCUGAGAGGACGACCAGCCACACUGGAACUGAGACACGGUCCAGACUCCUACGGGAGGCAGCAGUGGGGAAUUUUGGACAAUGGGCGCAAGCCUGAUCCAGCCAUUCCGCGUGCAGGAUGAAGGCCUUCGGGUUGUAAACUGCUUUUGUACGGAACGAAACGGCGAGCUCUAAUACAGUUUGCUAAUGACGGUACCGUAAGAAUAAGCACCGGCUAACUACGUG